rnacentral:rRNA from 1 species
AUUGAACGCUAGCGGCAGGCCUAACACAUGCAAGUCGAACGAGAGGCGGGCAGGGGAGUGAUGUCUGGGAAACUGCCUGAUGGAGGGGGAUAACUCCUGGAAACGGUGUGUAAAAUAGCGUACCAUCCGAUGUGCCCAGAUGGGGUUAGCUAGUAUGUGGGGUAAAGGCUCACCUAGGCGACGAUCCCUAGAUGGUCUGAGAGAAUGACCAGCCACACUGGAACUGAGACACGGCCCAGACUCCUACGGGAGGCAGCAGUGGGGAAUAUUGGACAAUGGGCGCAAGCCUGAUGCAGCCAUGCCGCGUGUAUGAAGAAGGCCUUCGGGUUGUAAAGUACUUUUAGCGGGGAGGCGUUACCUGCAGAAGAAGCACCGGCUAACUACGUGCCAGCAGCCGCGGUAAUUC